rnacentral:rRNA from 1 species
GACGAACGCUGGCGGCGUGCUUAACACAUGCAAGUCGAACGGAAAGGCCCUGCUUUUUUGGGGUUCUCGAGUGGCGAACGGGUGCGUAACACGUGAGUAACCUGCCCUUGACUUAGGGAUAACUUCAGGAAACUGGGGCUAAUACCGGAUAGGAGCUCCUACUGCAUGGUGGGGGUUGGAAAGUUUCGGCGGUUGGGGGUGGACUCGCGGCUUAUCAGCUUGUUGGUGGGGUAGUGGCUUACCAAGGCUUUGACGGGUAGCCGGCCUGAGAGGGUGACCGGCCACAAUGGGACUGAGAGACGGCCCAGACUCCUACGGGAGGCAGCAGUGGGGAAUAUGGCACAAUGGGCGGAAGCCUGAUGCAGCAACGCCGCGUGCGGGAUGACGGCCUUCGGGUUGUAAACCGCUUUCGCCUGUGACGAAGCGGGAGUGACGGUAAUGGGUAAAGAAGCACCGGCUAACUACGUG